GAGUUUGAUCAUGGCUCAGAUUGAACGCUGGCGGCAGGCUUAACACAUGCAAGUCGAGCGGUAGCACAGGGGAGCUUGCUCCCCGGGUGACGAGCGGCGGACGGGUGAGUAAUGUCUGGGAAACUGCCUGAUGGAGGGGGAUAACUACUGGAAACGGUAGCUAAUACCGCAUAACGUCGCAAGACCAAAGAGGGGGACCUUCGGGCCUCUUGCCAUCAGAUGUGCCCAGAUGGGAUUAGCUAGUAGGUGGGGUAAUGGCUCACCUAGGCGACGAUCCCUAGCUGGUCUGAGAGGAUGACCAGCCACACUGGAACUGAGACACGGUCCAGACUCCUACGGGAGGCAGCAGUGGGGAAUAUUGCACAAUGGGCGCAAGCCUGAUGCAGCCAUGCCGCGUGUGUGAAGAAGGCCUUCGGGUUGUAAAGCACUUUCAGCGAGGAGGAAGGUGGUGAGCUUAAUACGCUCUCAAUGACG
rnacentral:rRNA from 1 species